rnacentral:rRNA from 1 species
AGCGAACGCUGGCGGCAUGCCUUACACAUGCAAGUCGAACGGUAACGCGGGGCAACCUGGCGACGAGUGGCGAACGGGUGAGUAAUGCAUCGGAACGUGCCCAGUAGUGGGGGAUAGCCCGGCGAAAGCCGGAUUAAUACCGCAUACGACCUACGGGUGAAAGCGGGGGACCGUAAGGCCUCGCGCUAUUGGAGCGGCCGAUGUCAGAUUAGGUAGUUGGUGGGGUAAAGGCCUACCAAGCCUACGAUCUGUAGCUGGUCUGAGAGGACGACCAGCCACACUGGGACUGAGACACGGCCCAGACUCCUACGGGAGGCAGCAGUGGGGAAUUUUGGACAAUGGGCGCAAGCCUGAUCCAGCCAUGCCGCGUGCGGGAAGAAGGCCU